GGCAGAGAGAGAUUGGGAGCAGUGGUGUGUGUGCGUGUGUGUGUAUAGGUACACGUCGUGACGCUCUGUUCAGUCUGCCACGGCCGCGGUAACUAGUGUACCAGGCUGCCUGUCUCGCUCGCCUCGCUUAGUCGUACCUACCUCAAGGGGCGGGCACAGAACCCGGCCACUCUUGCUGUGGUGGUAGUGGCGGCGGUGGUGGUGGUGGUGGUGGUGGUGGUGGUGGUGGUGGUGGUGGUGGUGGUGGUAGUGGUGGUGCUAAGGUGGUCGUCAAGGCGCGCACUCAGCAGGGGGUCGAGGUCUGAUUAGCAAUCCCCGUUGUCUUGGGAGGCGAGCCUCAUACCCCCCGUUCUGCUAUUCUCCCAGUCGCUGCAAGCCUUGUGUCAGAUCGCUCGUCUCCCACGUCACUGAGGAAGGUGACUCAGGGAUGCUGACCGGAUGUUUGCCUCUCGGACAGCGACGUGCGUGUCUCAACGGUCAGUACUCACGAAUACUGGGAAGCUUCGUGGAAGUUUGGAAUACAGGAGUGGAGCACCAAGGAGGGAUGCAGCCUCUCCUCCUGCGGGAAUCAACAAUCACGUGUAGCUUCCUUCACUACUACACUAAAACACAAGCCACCAGCACUCCUCUUUCCCGAUCACCUGAGAUAACUUUCGCUCAACAAACUUCACAAUUGCGACAAUGGAACUCCCGCGGAACCUUAGUGGUUGUGUGCGCUCGGCUGCGGGGCGACUGACGAUGAUGCAACGUGUCCCACAGAUUUAUAGAAUGCCUCAAACACCACCAUCAGCAACACGGCGGCAUAACUGCCACAGAUUCACACAAGGAGAGACACUGACAAGCUUUCCUCUGCACAACGUCACACUUACUUAGUCUCGGUAUUCAUUAAGUAUAUUUAGAACGACUUAAUGUGAGACCAAAAAGGUUGGGAGGUGAUAAGGCGCCGCCCACCGCGCGCUAGUAACCGUUGCACUACGUGCCUCAAUGCAUGCACCUGUGAGGCGGCCGCCGUUGCACCGCCUACUCACGCAUUUCUUCAUGCAAUGACGGCAUUAAUUGGCAGCCUCGCUGAUUGAGCUGUUCUGCACCGCCGUGGUAUUUAUAGUGGCCAGGAGCGUGACGCAGCCAGGGCGUGCUGCUUCUCACCCCGCAGUGCGUUGCUCGGGCAACGCACCGUAGCCGUCGAGGACCCAAGACACCUGCAGCAGGCAGGGGCGCCGGCCACCAAUAUAGCCGCGUGGCGGCCGAGGCCACGUGGCUUCUGGGAGCAAACAACACGUGCUUCCGGCCCACGGCUGCCGAGGUGAGCUGAGUGAAGGCGAGGAACAGCUUAGCACGCAGCCCAGUCCAAGGGCGGAGGAGAGUCACACGAGACGCGGCAGCUCCAAUGACGAGAAGGAAGCCGUGCCGCCAAUCAAGCAGGAAGCAAGGCCGCCCUGCUGAGGUGCCGCCCAUUUGUCCAGUCACCUGUAUGGAGGGAUUAACGGGAGGGCGGAUGUGUGUCCUUUACCUUGCUGUGCCCCGCCCUCAAGGCCUCACCUUCCCUCACUCCUGCCGCGGUACAGAAGCCAACAGGAAGAAAAGAAACCUUCGUCAUCAUACUGCUCUGCAUCAUCUACUCGAGAUUAGACUAUGUGGCUGAUCAAAGACAGUCUCGUAAGGGUCAACAAGUCAGAAAGAGAUGGGAAUUAAGAAACCAGUUCACAAGUAGAGUAAGAGAUGACUGGAACAGACUCAACAAUCAGGUUGUUAGUGCCUAGCCAAUAGGGAGAUUAAAAAAAAGAUUGGAUAAAUUUAUGGAUAGGUGGGUACAGGUGAGUAUCAUUUAUACGGACUGCCACGUGUAGGCCUGCCGGCUACUUACGGCUUCAGUGAUGUUUUUAUGUUCUUAUAUCUGCUGCUUUUUGCUCUGUUUUUUGUUACUUUCUGAUGGAUACUGCCAGCACGGCCUGACACGUGAGGGCGCUAAAUUAUAUGGAGAGGUAUGAGGGAGGUGAGGACAAGGAAGUCUUGAGGGACUAUAAUCCCAAAUAUUCAGGGUUUAAUCUCGAUUUUUUUUUAACAAGUUGUAGUGAAAGUCAAUGGAGUUUUCAAGAGUGCUUUUAUGAUUGUUGUAAUGAAUAACAAAGGUUCUAUAUAAUCAAGAGAAAAAAAAAGAAAUAUCAUGAGAACCUAACUAUUCAUCUUUAUCUUAUCUCAACUAUUUUUAACAUGCUACAGUAAAAAUCAGAUGAGUUUUAAAGGGAGUUUUUAUGAUUUUUGUGAUGAUGUAAUAAAGAAUUUCAACCCAAAAAAAAAAACAAUUCAUGAGAACCUAAUUAAUCAUCUUUAUCUUAUUUCAACUAUUUUUAACAAGCUCUAGUAAAAAAGUAGCGGAGUUUUCAAGGGAGUUUUAUUGAUUUUUGCGAUAAUGUAACAAAGCUUCUACAUCAUUAAGAGAAGGAAACACUCAUGAGAACCCGACUAGUAAUCUGCAUGGCCUCUGAGAACAGUCGCCGUGAGAGAACCAAGCGUUCCAAAACACGGAACUGGGCCACGACGGGAGCGGCCGAUCAAUGCUGCCGUGUGGACCAGGCGCCGCUCACUCCGCGCUGGCAGCUCCUCGAGUCAGGAAGCUUAAACAGCAAAAUAACUCGACAAAAAAAACGAAUAUAAAAGACUCAGAAAUGUGGUAAGGAAACUGAAAUUGUGACAGGAAUGCUAUAUUUUCCCCUUGUGCUACAGUAAAAAAAAAAAAAAAAUCUCUUAGAAGAUAAUAUAGUCGAAUCAUUAGGGAUUAGAAUAGCAUGCCUGUUCUUCUAUCUCUUGGGUUUUCCUAUUAGCUUCUCCAGUAAAGGAUCGAUAUGAGAAAAAUACAAAAGAAAGAUACCCGAUGAAGAGAAAUCACAACGAUAUACAAUACUCCUCCUGGUCUUUUGCCUAAGUUUGCCUAGUUUCUCCUGUUCAACGACCGACAUAGGAGAAAUAAAAAGAAAGAAAUAUAUACAGUCAAAUCAUAAGAAAGUACGAUAGUUAUCCUAGUCCUUUGUUUUGGUUUUCCUGUUUCCCAGUUCAAGAUUCGACACAAGGGAAACACAGAUGAAGGAAAGAAGGUGGACAAGAAAGUGAAGACGGAGAAGUAUCUGAGAGGGAAAAGGUCAUGUUGUUGUAGUAAAUCUAAGUGUCUGUCAUUUUGCUUCCUCACUACAUGUCUCAUAAACCUUGGAAGCAGGGAAACUUUGAGCACC